AGACAUGGCUGCUGACGGAAAGGAUAACAAACUUCAGUCGAAUCGAAAAGUUCCAUUUUACCAGGAUGUGGAUGGAUUUCGCAUUCCUGGAAUGUUUUCCGUGGAGGCAUUUCGAUCAGCUUUAGCAUAUAAACCUCGACCAGAUGAUCUGAUCAUUGCGACAUAUCCGAAAUGUGGAACGACAUGGGUUCAGAAUAUAGUAGCCUGUAUAUAUAGGAAUGGUCAACCUUUUGGGUCUGCUCUGGAAUUCUUCAGUCACACACCUUUUCUGGAAAUGACGGGGGCAGAAGCUGCUGAAACUAUGCCAAGACCAGGAGCCCUUAAAGUGCAUCUACCUUUUCAUUUAACACCGUGGUCUGAUGAAGCAAAAUACAUUUUCGUGGCAAGGAAUCCUAAAGAUUGUUGUGUAUCCUUCUACCAUCAUACAGAAAAUAUAGUCGGAUAUCGCUUUGAAAGAGGAAGUUUUGACGACUUCUUUGAAAUCUUCAUUGAAGGGAAAACGGAUUUUGGAGACUACUUUGAUACACUGGUGUCCUGGUAUGAACACAGAAAUGAUCCUAACGUUUUGUUCAUUACUUAUGAAGAGCUCAAGAAAGACGCAAAGAAGAAUAUUCUCAAAAUUUCGGAAUUCAUGGGACCACAGUAUAAGGAAUCAUUGGAAAACAAUGAAAAAGUGCUUCAGGAUGUUAUCAAUCAUAGCAGUUUUAAUUUCAUGAAGGAAAGCCUUAACAAAAGUUUUGCAGAACUUGCCUCCAUGCCCAAAGAUCAGAUUAGAAAUAAUCCUGACAUACCGCCAGGAAUAAGGCACUUAUUUUCGGCUGAAGGAAAUGUUUUCAAGCUUGAUCCUGUAGGUGUUCAGUUCGUACGAAAAGGUCCCACGACCCACAGUUUAAGAAACCCUGGACUAGAACAUGAUACUGGCACUUCUUCCCAAACAGAGAAAUUCUAAUUUAUGUGGGCACAAUGAAACUUUCAAAUAAACCCUAGUGCAUCUUUCCUCCUGCUUGAAUAAUUUGUAAGGUAUUGUUGGAGAUUGGCGGAAUUACUUUUCUCCAGAACAAAAUGCUAGAUUAGAAAAGAAAUUUAGUGAAAGAACUGCAGGAACUGACAUACCUGAUUUAUGGAAGGAUGUUAUGUAAAUAGUCUUAACAUGCUUUGUUAAUAUUAAGACAAUAAUAUCUUAAUCAUAAAAACCUGAUCACAUGUACCAAAGCUAAAAUUCAUUAAAAUAACUAUUAUAAAAUAGUG